CUAAUGGUGGCUGGAGGACUGAUGGCGGCUGGAGGACUGAUGGCGGCUGGAGGACUGAUGGCUGCUGGAGGACUGAUGGCUGGAGGACUGAUGGCUGCUGGAGGACUGAUGGCUGGAGGACUGAUGGCAGCUGGAGGACUGAUGGCAGCUGGAGGAUUGAUGGCGGCUGGAGGACUGAUGGAGGCUGGAGGACUAAUGGCUGGAGGACUGAUGGCUGCUGGAGGACUGAUGGCUGGAGGACUAAUGGCUGGAGGAGUAAUGGCGGCUGGAGGACUAAUGGCUGGAGGACUGAUGGCGGCUGGAGGACUGAUGGCUGGAGGACUAAUGGCGGCUGGAGGACUGAUGGCUGCUGGAGGACUGAUGGCGGCUGGAGGACUGAUGGCGGCUGGAGGACUGAUGGCUGGAGGACUAAUGGCGGCUGGAGGACUAAUGGCGGCCCUAAUUAGCUCCCCACCCCCCCCAUUAGCCUAAUAAUAAUCACCAUUCCCAAUUAAUGCCUCUGUAUCUCAUUAAGUACCCCCGCUAAUUGCCCCUCCCCGCUCUAAUUACCCCUCCUCCCUCUAAUUAGCCCCUUCUAAUUACCCCAUCCCCUCUAAUUACCCCUACCCCCUCUAAUUACCCUCUCUAAUUGCCACUCUAACUUCUAAUUACCCCUACCACUCUAAUUACCCCCCUCUAAUUACCCCUACCCCCCCUAAUUACCCCCUAACUAUUCCCUGUAAUUACCCCUUCUAAU
rnacentral:lncRNA from 1 species